rnacentral:lncRNA from 1 species
GCCCGAGGCACCAGGCCGUGCCUGGGCCGCCACCGUGGCCCGUGGCAUGGCUCAGGCACGGCCCGACGGCCCGAUGUUUAAUAUCCCAGUAAAAAAUAUAGCUUUUUAAUUAAAAAAAAUAAAAUAUAGGUCUGUUGGCUCAUCCAUCCAUCCUAAUUGGCCUGUUAAGAAAUGUAGCUUGCUAAUUCUAAACAAAAAAAAGAAAAUAUAGGCCUGCUACUGGCCUGGCAUGACCUUGGCCCGGUGACCCGCC